rnacentral:rRNA from 1 species
UACGGGGGGGGCAAGCGUUGUUCGGAAUUACUGGGCGUAAAGGGCGCGUAGGCGGCCAACUAAGUCAGACGUGAAAUCCCUCGGCUUAACCGGGGAACUGCGUCUGAUACUGGAUGGCUUGAGUUCGGGAGAGGGAUGCGGAAUUCCAGGUGUAGCGGUGAAAUGCGUAGAUAUCUGGAGGAACACCGGUGGCGAAGGCGGCAUCCUGGACCGACACUGACGCUGAGGAGCGAAAGCCAGGGGAGCAAACGGG